ACUGACCGAGUAAAUGUGAAUAUUUUUUCACUUGAACACUCUGAUCUGUUUGGAACUUAAUUUCCUUACUCAUGAAAUUAAUAUAAUAAGGCUAAGUUGGUCAGUAGUUAAACUAACUAAAUUUGGCUGAAGAUUGCUAUGUUCACUAUGCAAAGAUUAGACCGUUAGUUCCCUGAGUGAAGAGAUGCUAUCUUGGUAUCUCCAGCUUCCAACCGGGGGCUUGGCACAGAAUAGGGGCUUGGUAAAUGUUUUCCAAAUGAAUGGGAUGUCUGAUGGAAAGAAGACAAGGUGAAGGAAUUCCUGGGUAAUAUGGAGAUGAGAAUCUGUGAGAAGGAUACAUGUACUGAUGCCUGUCGCGGUGGACACACAGACGCACACAUUGCGGAACACCACCAUAAGAAUAUUGAGAAUAUCGAGAACACUUCAAUAUUCCAAACUUCAAUGGAAAUAUACGUAGGUUUCACUUAACUAUGGUCCUGAUGGCUUUUUUGAAAAAGAAAGAAAGAAAAAAUGUUUUCAUCAUAUUAAGAAAAUGUCUUAGUCUUAGUUCAGAGAUUUCAUCAGAAAAUGAUGUUGAUUUAUAUAAAAGCUUUUUCAUAGAUAUAUCAAACCUAUAGAAAUUAUAAUGCAUUUUUCUCCUCUUUUGAUAUAUUGAUACAAUGCUGCAGAUCUUCUAAGAUUGAAUGAUCCUUGCAUUACUGAAAUAAGUAUUGUCAUAGUGUAUUAUCAUUUUAUUACAGUAUGCAUUUGA
rnacentral:lncRNA from 1 species